CAUAAAUGGAAUCUAACAAACUUGAUCUCACCGAAAUUUUGCAUGCUAAGCACAGUGGUUACCAGAGCUUGGGGGAAUAAGAGGAAGUGCGUAUGAACUGAAUAUCUAGAAAACCUACUGCAUACUUAACAGUGUUCAAUAUAAAUAUAUGAUUUAAAAUUUGAAAAAGGAAAAAAAUCAGCUGCAAGUGGAAAGAAUUAUGAGUAAGCAGAAGAUCUAUUAAGACAAGUCACACAUUUGGCAGAUAGAAGCACAAAUUGAAAGGUCUAAUUAGCAGAAAGAGCAGGAAGAGGAGGAGGAGGAAGAGAGGAAGAAACCUCAGAGACAUUUAAUUUACAAUAAAAUAUCAACACAUGGAUGAUGGGGUCUUAGAAGGAAAGGAGAAUAAGAAGGGGAUCAAAAG
ensembl:lncRNA